rnacentral:rRNA from 1 species
AGAGUUUGAUCAUGGCUCAGAUUGAACGCUGGCGGCAGGCCUAACACAUGCAAGUCGAGCGGGGGUAGCAAUACCCUAGCGGCGAACGGGUGAGGAAUGCUUGGGAAUCUGCCUGGUAUGGGGGAUAACGUUCCGAAAGGAACGCUAAUACCGCAUACGUCCUACGGGAGAAAGGGGGGGGAUCUUCGGACCUCUCGCUAUCAGAUGAGCCCAAGCGGGAUUAGCUAGUUGGUGAGGUAAAGGCUCACCAAGGCGACGAUCCCUAGCUGGUCUGAGAGGAUGAUCAGCCACACUGGAACUGAGACACGGUCCAGACUCCUACGGGAGGCAGCAGUGGGGAAUAUUGGACAAUGGGCGAAAGCCUGAUCCAGCCAUGCCGCGUGUGUGAAGAAGGCCUUCGGGUUGUAAAGCACUUUAAGCGGGGAGGAAGGGCUUACGGUUAAUACCUGUGAGCAUUGACGUUACCCGCAGAAUAAGCACCGGCUAACUCUGUG